UAGGUGUGGGGGACAUUCCACGUUUUCCGCGCCGUAGCUAACGCAUUAAGUGCCCCGCCUGGGGAGUACGGCCGCAAGGCUAAAACUCAAAGGAAUUGACGGGGGCCCGCACAAGCGGCGGAGCAUGCGGAUUAAUUCGAUGCAACGCGAAGAACCUUACCAAGGCUUGACAUGCACCAGACCGUCCCAGAGAUGGGAUUUCCACUUUGUGGUUGGUGUACAGGUGGUGCAUGGUUGUCGUCAGCUCGUGUCGUGAGAUGUUGGGUUAAGUCCCGCAACGAGCGCAACCCUCGUUCCAUGUUGCCAGCACGCUCCUUCGGGGGUGGUGGGGACUCAUGGGAGACUGCCGGGGUCAACUCGGAGGAAGGUGGGGAUGACGUCAAAUCAUCAUGCCCCUUAUGUCUUGGGCUUCACGCAUGCUACAAUGGCCGGUACAAAGGGUUGCGAUACUGUGAGGUGGAGCUAAUCCCAAAAAGCCGGUCUCAGUUCGGAUCGUGGUCUGCAACUCGACCACGUGAAGUCGGAGUCGCUAGUAAUCGCAGAUCAGCAACGCUGCGGUGAAUACGUUCCCGGGCCUUGUACACACCGCCCGUCAAGUCACGAAAGUUGGUAACACCCGAAGCCGGUGGCCUAACCCUUGUGGGGGGAGCCGUCGAAGGUGGGGCUG
rnacentral:rRNA from 1 species